AUUGAACGCUGGCGGCAUGCUUUACACAUGCAAGUCGAACGGCAGCACAAACUUCGGUUUGGUGGCGAGUGGCGAACGGGUGAGUAAUGCAUCGGAACGUGUCCUGAAGUGGGGGAUAACGCAUCGAAAGAUGCGCUAAUACCGCAUAAUCUCUGAGGAGAAAAGUGGGGGAUCGAAAGACCUCAUGCUUUUGGAGCGGCCGAUGUCUGAUUAGCUAGUUGGUGGGGUAAUGGCCUACCAAGGCGACGAUCAGUAGUUGGUCUGAGAGGAUGGCCAGCCACACUGGGACUGAGACACGGCCCAGACUCCUACGGGAGGCAGCAGUGGGGAAUUUUGGACAAUGGGCGCAAGCCUGAUCCAGCAAUGCCGCGUGAGUGAAGAAGGCCUGGUUGUAAGAUCUUCUAGUUGUAGAGAAAAAUUAGUAGUACUAAUAAUACGUAAUUACUAUAGUACAGUAUACAACAGAAG
rnacentral:rRNA from 1 species